rnacentral:sRNA from 1 species
AUCAGAUCGAUCUAAGAUGGCGACUGUCGAACCGGAAACCACCCCUACUCCUAAUCCCCCGACUACAGAAGAGGAGAAAACGGAAUCUAAUCAGGAGGUUGCUAACCCAGAACACUAUAUUAAACAUCCCCUACAGAACAGAUGGGCACUCUGGUUUUUUAAAAAUGAUAAAAGCAAAACUUGGCAAGCAAACCUGCGGCUGAUCUCCAAGUUUGAUACUGUUGAAGACUUUUGGGCUCUGUACAACCAUAUCCAGUUGUCUAGUAAUUUAAUGCCUGGCUGUGACUACUCACUUUUUAAGGAUGGUAUUGAGCCUAUGUGGGAAGAUGAGAAAAACAAACGGGGAGGACGAUGGCUAAUUACAUUGAACAAACAGCAGAGACGAAGUGACCUCGAUCGCUUUUGGCUAGAGACAGUAAGGUUUUAAAAGUGUAAAGCAGUUUUAGAGGUAGUUUAAGUCAGAUAUUUUAAGUGAUUGGCAGUUGACUCUCACCACAAUAAGCUCACUGUGGUCAUUUCAUUAAUCUCAAAAUUAUAGAACCUUAGAUUUUGUAUGAUUGAAGUUUUUGCAACCCUCUUACAGCAUUGCUAUAUGUAUACUAAACUUUUAAAUAUUUAUAUUUUUAGAGCAAGGGUCUUGCUCUGUUGCCCAGGCUGGAGUGCGGAUAUUUAUUUAUAUGGCUCACUUCAGCCUCACCCUCUGGGUUCAAGCGAUCCUCCCACUUCAGCCUCUUAAGUAGCUGGGACUACAGGUGCAUGCCACCAUGCCCAGCUCAUUUUCUAAUUUUUUUCCUAGAGAUGGGAUCUUGCUAUGUUGCCCAGGUUGGUCUCAAACUUCUGGCCUCAAGUGAUCCUCCCACUUCAGCCUCCCAAAGUGCUGGAAUUAGAGGUGUGAGUCAUUGUGCCUGUCCCACUAAACUUUUUAGAUCAGUGAAGCAAAUAAUAAAAUUGUUGUGUACUACCAUUUGACCUACAUGUUGUGAUAUUAACUG